rnacentral:rRNA from 1 species
AUUGAACGCUGGCGGCAUGCCUUACACAUGCAAGUCGAACGGCAGCACGGGGGCAACCCUGGUGGCGAGUGGCGAACGGGUGAGUAACAUAUCGGAACGUGCCCUGGAGUGGGGGAUAACUAGUCGAAAGAUUAGCUAAUACCGCAUACGAUCUACGGAUGAAAGUGGGGGAUCGCAAGACCUCAUGCUCGUGGAGCGGCCGAUAUCUGAUUAGCUAGUUGGUGGGGUAAAGGCCUACCAAGGCAUCGAUCAGUAGCUGGUCUGAGAGGACGACCAGCCACACUGGGACUGAGACACGGCCCAGACUCCUACGGGAGGCAGCAGUGGGGAAUUUUGGACAAUGGGCGCAAGCCUGAUCCAGCAAUGCCGCGUGAGUGAAGAAGGCCUUCGGGUUGUAAAGCUCUUUUGUCAGGGAAGAAACGGUGAGGGCUAAUAUCCUUUGCUAAUGACGGUACCUGAAGAAUAAGCACCGGCUAACUACGUGCCAGCAGCCGCGGUAAUACGUAGGGUGCAAGCGUUAGUCGGAAUUACUGGGCGUAAAGCGUGCGCAGGCGGUUGUGCAAGACCGAUGCGAAAUCCCCGGGCUUAACCUGGGAAUGGCAUUGGUGACUGCACGGCUAGAGUGUGUCAGAGGGGGGUAGAAUUCCACGUGUAGCAGUGAAAUGCGUAGAGAUGUGGAGGAAUACCGAUGGCGAAGGCAGCCCCCUGGGAUAACACUGACGCUCAUGCACGAAAGCGUGGGGAGCAAACAGGAUUAGAUACCCUGGUAGUCCACGCCCUAAACGAUGUCAACUAGUUGUCGGGUCUUAAUUGACUUGGUAACGCAGCUAACGCGUGAAGUUGACCGCCUGGGGAGUACGGUCGCAAGAUUAAAACUCAAAGGAAUUGACGGGGACCCGCACAAGCGGUGGAUGAUGUGGAUUAAUUCGAUGCAACGCGAAAAACCUUACCUACCCUUGACAUGGCAGGAAUCCCGGAGAGAUUCGGGAGUGCUCGAAAGAGAACCUGCACACAGGUGCUGCAUGGCUGUCGUCAGCUCGUGUCGUGAGAUGUUGGGUUAAGUCCCGCAACGAGCGCAACCCUUGUCAUUAGUUGCUACGAAAGGGCACUCUAAUGAGACUGCCGGUGACAAACCGGAGGAAGGUGGGGAUGACGUCAAGUCCUCAUGGCCCUUAUGGGUAGGGCUUCACACGUCAUACAAUGGUACAUACAGAGGGCCGCCAACCCGCGAGGGGGAGCUAAUCCCAGAAAGUGUAUCGUAGUCCGGAUUGCAGUCUGCAACUCGACUGCAUGAAGUUGGAAUCGCUAGUAAUCGCGGAUCAGCAUGUCGCGGUGAAUACGUUCCCGGGUCU